UACGAAGGGGGCUAGCGUUGUUCGGAAUCACUGGGCGUAAAGGGCGCGUAGGCGGCCUGAUAAGUCGGGGGUGAAAGCCUGUGGCUCAACCACAGAAUUGCCUUCGAUACUGUUAGGCUUGAGACCGGAAGAGGUAAGUGGAACUGCGAGUGUAGAGGUGAAAUUCGUAGAUAUUCGCAAGAACACCAGUGGCGAAGGCGGCUCACUGGCCCGGUACUGACGCUGAGGUGCGAAAGCGUGGGGAGCAAACAGG
rnacentral:rRNA from 1 species